GCCCUAAUGUCCGCUUAGAGCAAUGCAGAGCUCAACUUGAAGAUCUAUUCUAGAUUUACGACCCAGUAUCUUUACGGGUUUUUUAACUUGGAUGUCUCGGGCUACAAAUUGUGGUCGAAAGCCUGCUGAUCAAAGAAGUGAUGGAUUUAUUUAGCGUGUUCAAAUUUUUUUUUCUCCAUUAUUGAGUUCUAGAAACAUUUUAGGCAGAGAACCUCGGCGAUCAUCUAGAAAGAUAAAUUUUCUAGAAGAUUGUGGGCUCCAUAGAUUAGAAAGUGGAGUCCUUAAAAUUUUAGUGAGUUUCUUCUUCUUCUUCUUCUUCUUCUUCUUCUUUUUUGGUGCCAGUUUAGUUUCCUAAGUUUGUUUAAGAGAACAAUUCUUUG
rnacentral:lncRNA from 1 species